UCUGGAACAGCUGUGGGAACCAAGAAUCAUUAUUCCAGACAAAGAGUGGGAAGCAGACUCAAUCUCCAGGCUAUUACCCAGCUGGCCUUGAGAUGCAGGCUUAUGCUACGCUACUACUUGAGGAGAGUGGGGGGCGGGGUGUGCCCAGCUGGCAAGCGAUCCAAGCCGUGUGCUCCGGCCCCUCCCUGGGUGUCUCAGUGUUCUCUUGUGAGGUACUUCAGAGAUGGGUGUGGAGCCCAGAACAGGCUCUGCUCCCUGCUUUUUCUUGAUGUCACCAGCUGCUAUCUAUGCCUGUAGCCCAGACUUAAGCAGGUAUAGCAGAAAUCUCAGGCCCUCAUCCAACCCUGAAUGGCCAGGAUCUAAUGAACUUGGGGCUGACCCUCCUGGCUAUCCAGGGGAGGUACCUAGUCCUGGGGUACUCACAUUUCCAAAAGCCAAGAGCACGGAGUCAAAGUACAGGAGAAUCCCAAAGAGGAUGAAGAAGACGCCAAAGCCAGUGAUGCCCACACCGAUUUCUGCAAAAGGUAAGGAGAGCCUAAGCUUUCCUGCCGCACAGCUCAGAUGUCCUGUGUGGGCUCUUGGGGGGUGGGGUGGGGGGAAUGGAAGAUGGACGGGUUCUGCUGAGCUCCUGGAAACCUUCAUGGUACUGUGUCCUCACAUUCUGACAAUGCAGCUCCUGUCCGCCUGUAAGACACUGUUUUCAGGGUCAGGGCUCUGAUUGGACACAAUAACCUGCCAAUUCUGUUCCUGCAGCUGAGAUCUCCGGGGCCACACCCAGCUCACAGGCCCCAGGCCCUCUCCACUCUCCUUGGCUCUCUGCUGACCCACCACAAGUGACUGGGAAAAUAGAAGCCAUGGGUCAGGAGCACACUCACCCAUUCUGCAGCAGAGACCUAGGCUCCUUCCUAGACUUCUUUAACUUCAUCUCAGUAGAGUCAUUAAGCAAUGUCCCACGGGCAUCACUGAAGGCCACCAGAGUGAAUAAAGCCAACAAUCGACAGGCAGAAAUGUGGGGCAGUCAGAAAACUAUGGUCACGUGUUAUGCUUUGGGUAUGUGAUGUGCACUUCUGACCACUCCUUCCAGAAAUAAUACACAGGACGCAUGGAUUACUUAGUCUGAAGUCCUUAUCAUAUCUGCAAGUGUAAAUUUGACUCUCUGCCACUGUGAUAGGCAACAGAUGACCACUCGUCAAGCUAUUUUGUUUUAAAACUGUAUUAAAAAUUGGGCUGGAGAGUUGGCUCAGAGAUUAAAAAACGGCUGCUCUUACAGAGGACCUGGGUUCAAUUGAGAAAUACCUCUAACUCCAGUUCUGGGGUAAUAUCUAGUGCCCUCUUCUGGUUUCAAUAGGUACUGCAUGCAUAUGGUAUAUAUACACACACACACACACACACACACACACACACACACACCCCACACUAAGAACUUUUCAUUCUAAAUUUUGGAAAUGUAUAAUGUGUACCUUACCAUCUUAACUUCUUUUCUUGGUUUGUGUUUUUGAGACAGGGUCUCCCAUGUAACUCAGGCUGUCCUGAAUUCCUAAUCCUCCUGCCUCUGCCUCCUGAGUAGCAGCUAAGCACCUUUUAAUGUCCAUUCCUGUGGAGUUUCGUGGUGCUGAUAGUUCUGGGCUGCCAUCCCCAUCCUCUGUAUCCAGGACAACUCCUCCUACUAACUGAGAUUUUUAUCUACCAAUCUACAAACUUUCCCCUUCAUUUGAAUUUUUCAACUCUAGGAACUUCAUAGCAGUGGAAUCAUGUAACACUUGCCCUUUGUGGGUGGCUUGUUCCAUCUAUCACAAUGUUCUAAAGAUCCUUCUGGGGCUGAAGAGAUGGCUCAGUGGUCAAGAGCACUGGCUGCUCUUCCUGAGGACCUGGGUUGAAUUCCCAGCAUCCAAAUGGUAGCACAUCACUGUCUAUAACCCCAGCUCCAGGGAACUGUGUGUCCUAACACAGACACAUAUACAGGCAAAAUGCCAACACACAUAAAAUAAAACCCCAAAAGUUACUUCUGUUUGAAGUUAUGAUCUUUGAGAUCUUGCUCUCAAAGUUGAGCAUGCACGUGGUCUGUAAUCAUGGAACGUGGGGAGGGGAGGCAGAAGACUCGUGAGUUUGUGUCACCCUUGGUGGUUUUGGACUAUUGUGGGCUACAGAGCACCCAUAGCAACAAACAAACAAACAAACAAACAAACAAAUCCAGCUUUCAGGUCUUUUGGUUUACACCCAGAAGUGUCAUUGCUGCGACACACAGUGAUCUUCUUCUGAUAUCUGAGAGGCUGAGGUACUGGUUUCCAACUUGGCUUCUUUCUCUCAGUCUCCUGUCCUCAGGACACAAGGCUCCCACAUCCUUGCCAACACUUGAUUUCUAAUUAAAAAGGAAAGGAGGCUGGAGAGAUGGCUCAGCUCUUCCAGAGGCUGUGAAUUCAAUUCCCAUCAGUCACAUGGUGGCUCACAACCAUGAUGGGAUCUGAUGCCCUCUUCUGGCACUCAGGUGUACAAGCAGGUAGAGCACUUUUAUACAUAAAAAAUAAAUCUUUUAAAAAGAGAGAGAGAUUUAUUUUCAUUUUCCCUUAUGUGUAUGUAUGUGUGUCUGUGUGUUGGCAUGCCAUGUGUGUGGGCACCAGAAGAGGCAGUCAGAUACCCGAGAACUGGAGUUACAGACAGCUGUGAGCCUCCUGGCAUAGGGGCUGGGACAUGCGUCCUCUGAAAGAGCAGUGGGCACUCUUAACCGUUGAACCAUCUCUCCAGCCUCAGUUUUAAUGUUUUUGAUAGCAGCCAUGCUAAUAGAUGAGGUGAUAUCACACUGUGAGUUAUUUGCUUUUUUAGGUGGAAUGAUGUCAAGUUUCUGACAAGUCUUCAUGGUAUGUCUAGACUUAUUUCCUACUUCUAUUAGGCGCUGUCCUGAAUUAAACUUCUCAGCACCCAGGACAGCUGGGCAGAAGACAGCACCCACGGGACCUUAGAAUGGCUGUGCUCUUGGGGGUGUUUCUACCCUUGGAGACAAGGUGUCUGCCCACUAUAAUCCUGCAGGUGGCGUGGUGGAGGACUAUACCACAUUACUUUAAUGUGAAUGAUAAAGAUGUUUGGGAUUUGUUGCAGUAGUGGGAGUUAAACCCAGGACCUUAUUCCAUGUGCUAGACAAGUGUUCUAUGCUAGAACUACAUCCAAUCUCCCACCCCCGAGACAGGGUCAUGGUCUGUAGCCUCAGCUGGCCUUGAACUUGCAAUGUUCUCCCUUCAGCCUUCUGCGUGCCUGGGACUAUGGGUGCUCACUGUUGUUCCAGUCAUGUUUUAAGUACUUGUUAUAAAACAAUCUAUAUAAUGUUUUAAACAUGUGUCAUCAGCUGGGCAUGGUGAUACACGCCUUUAAUUCUGGCACUCGGGAAGCAGAGGCAGACAGAUCUCUGUGGGUCACAGGCUAACCUGGUCUACAUAGUGAGUUCCAGCCAGCCAAGGCUACAUAGUGAGACUCUGUUUGAUGACAGCAACAAAAACAGGAAAAAGUCUGUUAUCUCCUUACCCUUGCCAGAAAAAUACACAUUAUGACCCCAGUCUCAUAACAUCCCCUCCCUCGGCGUGGGGCCACAGUGUAAACAUUUUCUUGGUUUUGCUAUUUGUUUUGUUAAGAUGUCUGUAUGCCUGUCCUCAACAGACUUGUUUUUUAUGUUUGUUUGCUUGCUUGUUUGUUUUGAAGAACCUACUUUUCUCAGAUUCUCCUUGCAUGUCUUUCUGAGAAGGUCAGCCGAGCCAUGGAUCUCCAGUCUACCCAUCCCUGACUAUGAUUCACUGCUGCCAGCUUUCACAGAGAAACAGGAACUUGAGUCAGGAGGCCACAGAGGCAUUUGGACACUGUGAGCUGUGCCCGUGGAAGCAGCAGCCAGGAGUGGCCACAGCAGUGCUCUCACCAACCCCCUGCACAUGCCAGAUAUGUGUGCUGACGUCAUCAAAAGCACCCAAGAUCACUUCGGGUCUCUAUUAAGAUUCUGAGAACCGCCAGGCAUGGUGGUGCACGCCUUUAAUCCCAGCACCGGGGAGGCAGAGGCAGGCAGAUUUCUGAGUUCGAGGUCAGCCUGGUCUACAAAGUGAGUUCCAGGACAGCCAGGACUACACAGAGAAACACUGUCUCGCAAAAAACCAAAAAACCAAAAACAAACAAACAAAGAAUUCUGAGAACCACUAUGAAGAAACUCUAUAGAGGGUUCUGAGACAUGGCAGACUCCAAAGUGACCCACGGGCACAGCCAGACAAGAAUUCAUGCCCUGCUCAGUGGUAUGUAUCCGCAUGCCAGAACUCAGAAGGUGGAGGCAGAAGGACUGUGAGUUCAAGAUCAGAGUGAAACCCUGACUCAAAACAAAACACCAGGUAUGGUGAUGUAUGCUGCAAUCCUAGCCUCAGGGGGCAAAGGUGGGGAGUUCCGGCAGGUCUGGGGCCAGCCUAAACUAUAGAGUAAGAUUCUGUCUCAAAACACUGAAACCAACCAACCAACCAACCAACCAACCAACAAACCAACCAAUGAAUCAAACACUCUGUGUCUGUGUGUGUGUGUCUGUGUGUGUGUGUGUAUGCAUAUAUAUGUAUAUAUAUGAGUUUUUGAGACUUAGUGUUAUGUAGCCCAGGAGAGUCCCCCUGCGUCAGCCUCCUCAGUAGUGCUGGCUGGAACUACAAGCGUGUGCCCCCACCCCCACUGAGUGCAGUUCAUUUCUCUUAUGUUAGACAUCUUUUCUAGCAGUGAUUUGCUCAAUGAUCACUUGGCAGUUUGUUUGGUAGUCUUCUCCACAGGUUGGGGCAAUCCCAGAAUUUUCCUCUGUUGGGAAUCUGCCUUUUUAUAGACCAUAUACAGUUGCUUGGUAGUCUUCUCCACAGGUUGGGGCAAUCCCAGAAUUUUCCUCUGUUGGGAAUCUGCCUUUUUAUAGACCAUAUACAGUUGCUUCCAGCAUUCCAGCAUUCACACAAAAGCUCAUAGACAGGCAUUAGAAAGUGGGUUUCUCUCACACAGUUUCAAAAUGAGCCCCUCCUGUUGCUUCUACUGUAGUUUUCAUGAGUCAGUCAAAUUCAGGGAGAGGGGGCUGCACCUGAAGUUCCUAUUAGGAUAGCAGCCAUGGCAGAGAAGGCAGUGGGGUUUGGGGUAGGGGUGGGGGUGUGUCACACACAUACACAGGAACUACGAGUUUGUAGGUGAUGUUCCCAUGAUCCAGACAGAGGUCGCAGCGCCCCCUGCUGCACAAGUUACAAAGCAGCAAGCAGGGAGUAAAUGGAAAUGCUUCAGGAUGGUCUGGCUCCAGGGAGGACACUGCCUAGCAAGGGGAGAGAACGCCUCUGGCUUCAAAUGUCCAGUUUUGGGUCUCCCCAUGCCGCACGUCAUCUGAGCCCUGACUCUCUAGCCGCUGGUCCCUAGGUCCUGCAGUUCCCAAACUGUUGCCAGAAGGAGCCCUCAGCCGGCAGCCGAUGAGGAGAGGCCAAAGCCAGGUGAUCAGGGCAUAGCUUUUCAGACUGCAUCAGAGAAAGCCAGGUUCGAUGUCCUCUUUGCUGCAGUGCAUUAUCACCUGGAGCACAUGGACCGGUCUCUUUGGCCCAAGAUGAUGUGUUUAUUCUUUCCCAAGUUCCUCAGGCCUCUUCUGUAAUUCGUGAGUUCAUGUGAUCCUCCUGCCUCAGCCUUCUAAGUAUCUGUGGCUAAAGGUGUGAGACAGCCUCUGGCCUUUUUCUCUUUAUACAAUUAAAACGUACCAAACUAAAUACUC